rnacentral:snRNA from 13 species
AUUGCUUCUCGGCCUUUUGGCUAAGAUCAAGUGCAGUAUCUGUUCUUAUCAGUUUAAUAUCUGAUACGUCCUCUAUCCAUAUUAAAUGGAUUUUUGGAGCAAGGAGAUGGAAUAGGGGCUUGCUCCGCCCACUCCAUGCAUUGACCUGGUAUUGCACUACUUCCAGGAACGGUGCGCUCCCC